ACAAUAACCGAAGAGAGCCCCUCCGUGUUUGCCUGUGAAUGACUGGAGAGGUCCAGUCCACGAGACCCAACCUAAUGGAUGUCCUGUUGCGAGAAGCAGAAGAGGUGCUGAGCUCCCCAAGGGAACCCAGGUCCUGCAACAGAACCAGAGGACUGCUCAUCAGAUGGGUCAGGAGGAUGUCCCUUGCUCACGUCUGAGCCUGCCCACAAGUUCCAACCUUAGGAAGAAUUGUGAGCACUCCAGCUGGUCGCCUUGUUUUUCAAGACUGGACCUCUCCAUUGGAGCUCACACCAUUAAGCUCAGCUGACUAACCAGUCAGCCUCAGGGAUCUGCUGUCUUCACCUCCCCCCAACUACUGCUGGAGUCAGAAGCACACAACACCAUGUCCGGCUUUUUGUGUGGGUUCUGGGGAUCAAAUUCAGGUCCUCACGAUUAAUAAAAACUCAGGAUCAGAAAUUGGGACUCAACCUUAAGAUCUGAAAAGCAAAACAGCCAGCCACUGGCUCUU